UGAAGAUGCUUCUAACAUUGACACAAGUCUUGGUCAGAAUGUAUGUUUCUCCACCUUCUAGGAACCAUUGCUUGGAGAAUGUCCUACAUUUCCAGAAAACAUUCCAACUGUGUGGCAGAGAAGUGUGUUUGCACCAAGCAUGGCAUAUCAUCUUUCAUGCAAAGGAGUCCUGUGUCACCUACACCACCACCAAUAACAGCAUUAUACCUUCCAUCACUGAAAGCAAUCCCCAUGCUAGGCCACCAGUUUGUUUAUAUGGUGGAUUACAUUGAUGGAUUUUCAUAUGUUGAACCAUCCCUGGG